GUGAGGAAUAUUGGGCAAUGGGCGAAAGCCUGACCCAGCAACGCCGCGUGAAGGAAGAAGGUUUUCGGAUCGUAAACUUCUAUCCUUGGUGAAGAUAAUGACGGUAGCCAAGAAGGAAGCCCCGGCUAACUACGUGCCAGCAGCCGCGGUAAUACAGAGGUCUCAAGCGUUGUUCGGAAUUAUUGGGCGUAAAGGGCGCGUAGGCGGGAAGGUGUGUCGACCUGUAAAUCUAUCGUUUCAAGCGGUAGGCUUGGGUUGAAACUGCCUUUCUAGAGGAUUUCAGGGGAGUUUGGAAUUUACGGUGUAGCAGUGAAAUGCGUGGAUAUCGUAAGGAAGGCUUGUGGCGAAGGCGAAACUCUGGGGAAUACCUGACGCUGAGGCGCGAAGGCUAGGUUAGCAAACGGGAUUAGAAACCCGAGUAGUCC
rnacentral:rRNA from 1 species